UAUCCGUAGGUGAACCUGCGGAAGGAUCAUUAGUGAACGCCCUACUGGCUUAUAACUAUUCCCAACCCCUUUGAACCCUUCCCUUCCGGGCUAUUUUACAAAAAAGGGGUAAUGAACGGCAUAGAUCAAAAAAGAACAAAACUUUUAACAACGGAUCUCUUGGUUCUG
rnacentral:misc_RNA from 1 species